rnacentral:rRNA from 1 species
GACAGCAGUAGCCGCGGUAAUACGUAGGGUGCGAGCGUUAUCCGGAAUAACUGGGCGUAAAGGGUGCGCAGGUGGUUUAGUAAGUCUGAAGUUAAAGGCAUUGGCUCAACCAAUGUAUGCUUUGGAAACUGUUAGACUUGAGUGCAGAAGGGGAGAGUGGAAUUCCAUGUGUAGCGGUGAAAUGCGUAGAUAUAUGGAGGAACACCGGUGGCGAAAGCGGCUCUCUGGUCUGUCACUGACGCUGAGGCUCGAAAGCGUGGGUAGCGAACAGGAUUAGAUACCCGCGUAGUCCCUGUCUCUUAUACC